GCUGGGGACCAGGCGGAGAUCCGUACUGUGGUGGCACUCAUGCACCUGUUGUUGGUAGUGAACUUCUGGCUGCCAUUCAGUCAGCAGCUGUUAACUACUAAGGUGCCAGGACAAAAUGAAAUGCAACCAAGAAGUCAUGCCCCAUCACAAAGUGCAAUUUGAGGAAAACAAGAAGGCAGAUGUUUUGCCAUUGAGCCAGAAUUAAGUUUUCUUCUAGGACUAUCAAGGACUAUGUGGAUCUGACAGGCACUUCUGCUCAGCUCUCCUCUAGAGACUCCUAGAACAUCAUCGUUUCCUGAUUUCUUUGCUGGCUGCUUUUAUAACCAAACUCCAAACAUCAAAAUUAUCAUCUUAGUCCUGGGUGUUCUGUCCUAAUGUGUUAACUGCAAAAAUGACCUCAAUUCUUAGGAACUUCUGCCAUCAGUAGCUGGAGUCUAUUGGGUUUCAAGUCUGGGCCUCAAGAGGCAUUGCAAACUUUCAUCCUCUCUUUUGAGAUUUCAGCACCAUCACCAAAUGAACAAGUCCCAGGUAGCCUGCUGGAGGAUGUACAACCAUGUGGAACGCCGAUGAGCCAUCACAGCUGAGUUGUUUUGGACCUGCUAGCUCUAAACCAAUGUCGCAGCUGUCUGUAGAAGCACGAAUGAGAUAUGGCCAAGCUCCAUUGAGCCUGGCCCAGAUAAGCAGAACUGUUUCACGGAGCCCAGGACAAAUUGCCAAACCCCAGUAUUGUGUAUUCAAUAAUUUCUAGUUGUUCUAAGCCACUAAGUUUCAGGGUGACUUGUUAAGUGGUUAUAACUACCUAAUAAGUACAUUUUGUAUUUCCUUUUUAUUAUCAUCUACCAUAGCCUGUUAUUAUUUUCUUUGUUUGUUUAUUUAUUUAUUAGCUGUUUCUCUGCAAAUGUAGGACAAUUGCAUUGUCUUGUCCUCUGAUGUAUUCAAAACAGUUGGUGACUGGCACGUCAAAGACACUUAUUGAAAAGUUACUGAAUAAAUGAACACAUGAUUGGAUGAAUAAAUGUUUAUAGGUAAAACUUCCAAAA
rnacentral:lncRNA from 10 species